UGGGGAAUGGUGUAAUUGGCAACACGUCAGGUUCUGGCCCUGAAGUCUCUAGGUUCGAGUCCUAGUUCCCCAG
rfam:Gloeobacter violaceus PCC 7421 DNA, complete genome.